GCUCUAUUGGCCAAAUGGUAAGGCAUCGCACUCCUAAUGCGGAGACUGUGAGUUCGAAUCUCAUGUAGAGCG
rfam:Pachysolen tannophilus NRRL Y-2460 unplaced genomic scaffold PACTA_scaffold_3, whole genome shotgun sequence.